UUUGGGUUUUGUUAAGUUUGGGUUUGGGUUAGGUUUGGGUUUGGGUUAGGCUUGGGUUUGGUUUUAUUUUUGUUAGGUUUGGGUUUUUUUGGGUUGGGUUUUGUUCAGUUUGGGUUUCGUUAGGUUUGGGUUUUGUUAGGUUUGGUUUUUAGGUUUGGAUUUUGUUAGGUUUGGGUUUUUU